UACGGAGGGUGCGAGCGUUGUUCGGAAUUACUGGGCGUAAAGCGCGUGUAGGCGGAUAUAUAAGUCAGGUGUGAAAUCCCUUGGCUUAACUGAGGAAGUGCAUUUGAAACUGUAUAUCUUGAGUACGAUAGAGGAGAGUGGAAUUCCCAGUGUAGAGGUGAAAUUCAUAGAUAUUGGGAAGAACACCGGUGGCGAAGGCGGCUCUCUGGAUCGAUACUGACGCUGAUACGCGAAAGCGUGGGGAGCAAACAGG
rnacentral:rRNA from 1 species